rnacentral:rRNA from 1 species
UGUUUUCCGCGUUGGACCGCACACAAGUCUGUUGGAAUACAGCGGCAUAGUGGUGAGACCCCCGUAUAUGGUGCGGACGCCCAACGCUUUGUGAUACACUUUCGAAGAGUCGAGUUGUUUGGGAAUGCAGCUCAAAUUGGGUGGUAAAUUCCAUCUAAAGCUAAAUAUUGGCGAGAGACCGAUAGCGAACAAGUACCGUGAGGGAAAGAUGAAAAGCACUUUGGAAAGAGAGUUAACAGUACGUGAAAUUGUUGGAAGGGAAACGCUUGAAGUCAGACUUGCUUGCCGAGCAAUCGGUUUGCAGGCCAGCAUCAGUUUUCCGGGGUGGAUAAUGGUAGAGAGAAGGUAGCAGUUUCGGCUGUGUUAUAGCUCUUUGCUGGAUACACCUUGGGGGACUGAGGAACGCAGUGUGCCUUACGGCGGAUUUCUCGAGAUCUUCACACUUAGGAUGCUGGUGGAAUGGCUUUAAACGAC